AACAAAUACAUAAAUUUGUAAACUAUUGAUGUCAGAAAACAAAAUUAUCAUUAGUAAAUUAAAUAGCUAUAUUAAACAAAAAUGAAAUAAAAGGACUAUAAUACAAUAAAACCUCUAUAAAUUAAUAAAUUUUGCUGGUCCCAAGUCGGGCCAGUGUAAAAAUUAACUAAAUUCGAAAAAAGAAAAAAAAGAGACUAUAAUAAAAAGAAAAGUAUGAAACGAAAUAUUAUGGUAAAGUCCGGCCCGACCUAACAAGGCUUUUCGGGCUUUACUUCCG
rnacentral:lncRNA from 1 species